UACGUCGGGGGCAAGCGUUGUCCGGAUUUAUUGGGCGUACAGAGCGUGUAGGCGGCCAGGUAGGUCGGUUGUGAAAACUGGAGGCUUAACCUCCAGACGUCGACCGAAUCCAUCUGGCUAGAGUCCGGAAGAGGAGAGUGGAAUUCCUGGUGUAGCGGUGAAAUGCGCAGAUAUCAGGAAGAACACCCGUGGCUAAGGCGGCUCUCUAGUACGGUACUGACGCUGAGCCGCGAAAGCGUGGGGAGCGACCAGG
rnacentral:rRNA from 1 species